rnacentral:rRNA from 1 species
GGAGUUUUUUCUGGGUUGUUACGACCCUAAAAGCACUACUGAACAGAGGAACCAGUUGCGGCAACAGAGAAGGUUCUGUUUUAUUUCACUCUUCAUUUGCAUCUUACUUUCGUCCUCUCAUCUAAGUCCAUUUUCAUCUCAUUACAGUUUCACUUUCCAUUACGAUGCAUAAUUUUUACAAUCUAGCAAAACACUCCCCAAUCACCUUUUUU